rnacentral:lncRNA from 1 species
CUCAAACAAAACAACAUUAGCACUGCAUCUCAUAAGAUCAUUUGUUUAACACUUGCAUGUUAAUAAGCACCCAUGCUACAAGCAUAUACUAAUUAAGCGUGCUUACUGCAGUGUAGGCCUGUUGCUUUAUCAUUCUGUGAUAGUAACUGCUGUUUUCGAUGUAUAUAGAAGUUGAUGAUAUUUAGGCUUCACUGAACCCUCCCUGUGUGCAAUUUAAGUAAUGUUACAGAACACUUCAAAGGUGAGGUUGUUUAAUGUUUUUAGUCUUUACAGAAUAUCUAUUUCACAUAUAUACAUUUCCUACAAUGUCAUGGGUUGGAUAUCUUUAACCAGCUGUGAGCGUUGUCUUGCAAUAGCCAGAGAUCAGAUACUAUGAACAUUAACCACCAAUAACUAUAAUGAAAUCCAUCUAACAUAUGAAACCAACAUAUUCAGCAAAUAAUCCCACAUAUCUAUUGCUCCCAGUUUCCUUUUCAUAGGUACUCUUACAUUACUAAUGACUUCACCUCUGAGAGGAAGGGCGAAUGGGAGAUAUGGAGAGAGGGAGAGUGGAAGAAAGAGAGGGAGGGGACAAAUUUAGUCCAGAGGGAUAAAAUCUCAUCAGCUUGUCCAUAUUCACCAUUGAUCCUCCGACAAACUAGUAACACACUAGUAACACACUCCCUGCUUUUAUACCACACUCCCUUGCCCCCUCACAAUACCUGUUACAGAGGGCUGGAUCCCUCCAGUCUACUCAACAUCACACAGGAUGGAGAGAGAGAGUGAGAGUGAGAGAAAGAGCGAGUGAGAGAAAGAGAGUGAGAGAGAGUGAGAGAGAGAUACAGAGAGAGAUACAGAGAGAGAGAGAGAUACAGAGAGAGAUACAGAGAGAGAGCACCAGAAAAACCAGGUGCCUAGAGCGGCAAGUUUAAAGUGUCAUGACCAACAUCAGCUCAUUCACAGGCCUAUUGACCUGGAGCAAACUGGUCGGGUUGUAUAGAACGCUAGAUUAUACCACCUUUACAAAGCUAAAAUCAAAUCAGGGAAGGAGAGAGAGAGAGAGGGAGAGAGGAGAGAGGGGGAGCGAGAGAGAAUCAGAACACAUUUUGGUUUCUGUUCAAAUCUCCUCAGGGUUGUGGAUCAACAGCCAUUUCCUGAUCUUAUUCAGUCCUCUGUUACUCAGUUUGUCUGCUGGUUCUUUUGUUGUGCUGCUUCUAUAAUCUUCCUUUAUCUUUGUCUCUGGUGUCGCUGGUUAAAUCCCAGGGCUCCACAAAUGGCCUUGACGGAUGACAGCAGUGGUUUUCCAUAAGCAGCCUUGACGCGAGUGCACGUGCGUGUGUGUUGGGCCUCAGGUGUGUGGAAGUGUGAGCUUUUUGUCAAGGUUUCUCACAGCUGUGAUCAAGUACUUAGUCUGGGAAAAUGAGAGAGAGGGGAGGGAGAAGAAAGAGAGGGGAGGAAGGAGAGAGAGAUAGAGGAGGAAAAAUAGAAAUAUUUAAUUAAUUGA